UACGUAGGGGGGCUAGCGUUGUCCGGAAUCAUUGGGCGUAAAGCGCGUGUAGGCGGCUCGGUAAGUCCGCUCUGAAAGUCGGGGGCUCAACCCUCGGAUGCGGGUGGAUACUGUCGAGCUUGAGUGCGGAAGAGGCGAGUGGAAUUCCUGGUGUAGCGGUGAAAUGCGCAGAUAAUCAGGAGGAACACCAAUUGCGAAGGCAGCUCGCUGGGACGUUACUGACGCUGAGACGCGAAAGCGUGGGGAGCGAACAGG
rnacentral:rRNA from 1 species